AAAGAGACAACGACGACUGCCGACUGGGAAAUCCACACUUCGAUCGAUUGACCACGCCGACUGUGUAGCUUCUUCUCUUUGUCCCGAAUCCAAAUUCUCAUUCUGUGAGACCAAUUUCUCUCUGAAAUUUGUUUCCCCUUUUAAUAUUGUGCACACAAGCAUAAAUAUAUAUAUAUAUAUAUAUAUAUAUAUAUAUAUAUAUAUAUAUAUAUAUAUAUAAACGCCUGUGUGUAUAUAUUUAUAUUGUUCUUAUUUAUGUGUUAGUGUAAUUGCUGGAUUAUGUUGUAGCAUUUUAAUUGAAGUUUUUCGAUCUGUUCAUAAUUGCAGCCAUUUAUGAUUUAUAUCUCUCUCCUCAUUUUGGAGUAGGUUUUAACUGCCAAAUGUUGAAUCUUUUCUUACUUCUAUGCGUAUUUAUGGGUUGUUCUCUACUUGGAUUUAGUGGUUUUUUUAGUUUCAAUCAUGGUAGAAUUUCUGUUAUUUCUAAGUUCAAUAUCUUUUUUUCUUUUUUUUUUGCUAAGCAAAAUUAUAGCUUAGGGUUCAUAGUAUCUAUCUUAUUUCCCCAUUGAGGUCAUUUACUUAAGUUCAUUUUUAUUAUUGUUAUCUACAUCUAUGAAUUGAAAUAAUGUACUAUAUUUUUCCUUAACUUUGUAAAUUUUGUUUGUUUGUUUGUUUGUAAUGUAAUAAUAAUUAUUAAUUAAUUAAGUUUGUUUGGAAACUUUCAUGUAACUUUUAUAUUUGGCUUCAAGUUUAGUAAAGUAAUACAUGAACUUUUUUCUGUUACGACAACUUCUGAUUUUGAUGAAAUAAUUUGAAGAGCUUGGAAGGACUUGUUGAAGGGAAGAAUUGCUGAAGUAGGAAAGUAGCAUGAAGUAAGAAUAAUAUUACAAAUAUUAAGCUGCCGGUUUUUUUGGUGGAAUGACAGAUUGACAUCUGAUAUGCCGUCAGUUAUGUCCCAAAGUAUGAGAUUAAGCAGGUCUUCCUUUAGAUCAAGUAACGAAUAUGAAACUCCCUCGCGAAACUCACUUUUCUCAAAUGGGGAUGAUUAUGACAAUGAUGGUUCCAAUUUCGCUCCUCCGUAAGUUGAUUCUUUUCAGCUUGAACCACACACACAGACUUCCAGUUCUUAUGCUUUACUGUAGGAUAGUCAGUGACAUUUCUUCAUAUUUAAAGCAACUUAAUAGCUCCCAUUAAUUCAGAACAAUUGUAGCCCAAAUACCAAUAUGACAAGCCUAAUCACUAGAUAAUUUUAACUUCAUGCGGGCAGCACUCCAAAAAAGGUUUCCUUUAUUUGCUUGUUCUAAGUAAAGUAUUCAUUAUGAGAAUUCAAGAAAAAAUGUGUAAAUAUAUACUAAUUUUUAGAAGAGGAAUAUACUGUAUACAAUGAAGGCAACUAUUGUCCAUUUAUGCAAUGUAACUACUGUAUACACAUUUAUGAAUUUUUUGGCUUCUGCACAGGAUGUUAUGCCAUUCUUGGAUGAAGAAGAUGGGAUUGCAAGCAUGUAUUUGGAGCUUAUUUUACAGAGCAGAUGCAGUGAGGACUGAGGAAUGUCAUGCAGUGAGGAAUGUCAUUUAGAGAAAGCAACAGUGUCUUUUUCUUUAGUUGUGUUAUCUUUAAUCUUUCUUUUUCAACAUUUGCAGUGAGGAAUGUAUUAAGUUCAACCAAUUAUUCUUUAUAUGUUUAUCAAUACUGAGGUCGUCUGAGCACUGAGCUGGUUGAUUUAUAAUUUUUUUUUAUAAAAAAAAUAGAAAAAGCCCGCGGGUCGGGCCGGCCCAACCCGGGCCACGAGCCGCUAAAUUUUAGCCCACCGAAACCUGGGCCAUUUUGGCCCAGCCUGCAGACAGCCCGACCCGUCAACAGCCCGGCCCGUUUGGGCCAGCCCGAUCCGUUUGCCAGGUCUAACUACAAUGGAACCUUUUAUCGUAUGAGUUGAUUAUCUAUUUUAAUCCAAUUAUUUAUUCAUAAUGAGUUGUCUAUCAUAA
rnacentral:lncRNA from 1 species